GUGAUGAUGGCCCAGUCAACCCCCAUCAUGCCAGCAGCACAUUAGGGCAGCUGCUCAGAAAGCGCUGGCUCAGCACAAAGCCACAGGGAAUAACAGAGAGCAUGAAUAUGCUGCUGAGCCUUCCCAGAAUUGGGAUCUGCAAAGGCAGCAAUGGAAAUGCAACUCCCUCCCAUGUGCCUGGGCAAGGCUCACGUUGUACCCAGCUGUAGCUUCACCAGCUUCCAAAGGCGAACAGGAACAGACUGCAGCAACUCACAAGAACAAGCAAAAUGUUAUCCUGGUCUCCAAGACAACAGGCAUAUCAAAACAGACAAA